CAGCAGCCGCCGCGGUAAUACAGAGGGUGCGAGCGUUAAUCGGAUUUACUGGGCGUAAAGCGUGCGUAGGCGGCUUUUUAAGUCGGAUGUGAAAUCCCUGAGCUUAACUUAGGAAUUGCAUUCGAUACUGGGAAGCUAGAGUAUGGGAGAGGAUGGUAGAAUUCCAGGUGUAGCGGUGAAAUGCGUAGAGAUCUGGAGGAAUACCGAUGGCGAAGGCAGCCAUCUGGCCUAAUACUGACGCUGAGGUACGAAAGCAUGGGGAGCAAACAGGAUUAGAUACCCCUGUAGUCCCUGUCUCUUAUAU
rnacentral:rRNA from 1 species